rnacentral:rRNA from 1 species
UACGUAGGGGACGAGCGUUGUCCGGAAUCAUUGGGCGUAAAGCGCGUGUAGGCGGCUUGUUAAGUUGGUCGUGAAAGCCCAUGGCUCAACCAUGGAAGUGCAACCAAAACUGGCAAGCUAGAGUCCCGAAGAGGAUGGCGGAAUUCCCAGUGUAGAGGUGAAAUUCGUAGAUAUUGGGAGGAACAUCGGUGGCGAAGGCGGCCAUCUGGGAGGGUACUGACGCUGAGACGCGAAAGCGUGGGGAGCGAACAGG